AUGGCGGGGAAUACCUACGAGGUUGAAUAACAUUCCUCACUCCAGAGAAGGUAGGACAUAUUUCUAUGAUGAUGUGCUUCAAGCUACGCAGAGAGCCAUAUAUGAUGGAAAAACAAGACUAAAGUUUUCCUCAUCAACAUAUGCGUUACUCCCAAAGCCAAACUCAUGCUGCUCUUCUUGUGAACAUUUCAGUCUGGACAGGAUGUUUAUAGAAUUGGUACACUGAUGGAACUUGCCAGGGUUAUUGCUCUUUCGUUUGCUGAGGAUGGAAAACGUGUUGAGGUUUGUGUUCAAGGGUCCAUGGGAGAAGGUGCUCUUGCUGGAAUGCAACUGCAGCUUGUAGUCGCAAGGUAAUGGAGUUCAUGGAUUGAGGAGAUCAUGGUGCAUUAGGAACCUCUGUCAAGAUUGGAUCUAUAGGUAUAUGGUUGGGGAAAUUGAGUUUUAUCUAAUUAGGGCAAUCAUACCAUUGACUACUUCUCUCCUUGGUCAUCAGCAGACAAAGUGGUUU